AGAGAGAGAGAGAGAGAGAGAGAGAAGAGAGAGAGAGAGAGAGAGAGAGAGAGAGAGAAAUCAGCAAGCGAAUGACCGUAAACACAGACAAGAAAAUCGAGACAUCGCAAAGGCAGUUGUUCCUGGAAGUACAGGGACCAGACCUGCAGUAAUGCCGGCACUACGUGAGACCGACUGAGAAGGAGGCGCAGAGGUUGAGGGUGACCAUUUAACCAAAAAGGUUAAAUGACUUUACCAAGAUAACAGAAAUAAUAAAAGUAUGAGAGAGAAGAUUAGAAUCCAGGACUUAUGUCUCUAGUCUUGGCAUUACCUUCUAAGUAAGUGGUUAAAAUUUUAUGCAGCAUUUCCUUUUAAAUUUAUAUGACUUCCUUUGUGUAGUAGUACAACCAAUCUUUAUUUAUCCCAGUACAUUUCUAAUAAAAAUGGUAUUUUCACUCUA